AUACCUUUCUCGGCCUUUUGGCUAAGAUCAAGUGUAGUAUCUGUUCUUAUCAGUUUAAUAUCUGAUAUGUGGCUCAAUGGGUCACAUGAUAUUAAAUUACUUUUUUGAGGGGGAGAAGUCAUCACAAUAGCUUGCUAUUGAACUUCUUGAGUGUCGCUUAUGCGUUGCACUAUUGCAUAGGCUGGCGCACCCCACCAAUCUUAGUUCAAUUAUUAAUUAAUUGCAUGCAUUGGUGUACUUUACCAAUCUUAGUUCAUUUUUGUUUUAGCUGCUAAAAAGCUUCUUAUUGGCGCUCCCGUAUUUUGUAGUUCUUAUUUUUCAUAUAAUCUUGAGUAGUUAAUUUAAAAAUGUUUUGAAAUGUUAUGUUAUAUUUUGAACCAUGGUAUAAUAAUAUAUAAUACAUAAAAAAAGAAAAGAACUACUUUUCUUAUAGUGCGAUUAUUAGAC
rnacentral:snRNA from 1 species